CUAAUACCGAAUAAGUUCCAAGAGCCGCAUGGCCCAUGGAAGAAAAGGUGGCCUCUACCUGUAAGCUAUCGCCUGAAGAGGGGUUUGCGUCUGAUUAGCUGGUUGGAGGGGUAACGGCCCACCAAGGCGACGAUCAGUAGCCGGUCUGAGAGGAUGAACGGCCACACUGGAACUGAGACACGGUCCAGACUCCUACGGGAGGCAGCAGUGGGGAAUCUUCCGCAAUGGGCGAAAGCCUGACGGAGCAACGCCGCGUGAGUGAUGACGGCCUUCGGGUUGUAAAACUCUGUGAUCCGGGACGAAAAGGCAGAGUGCGAAGAACAAACUGCAUUGACGGUACCGGAAAAGCAAGCCACGGCUAACUACGUGCCAGCAGCCGCGGUAAUACGUAGGUGGCAAGCGUUGUCCGGAAUUAUUGGGCGUAAAGCGCGCGCAGGCGGCUUCCCAAGUCCCUCUUAAAAGUGCGGGGCUUAACCCCGUGAUGGGAAGGAAACUGGGAAGCUGGAGUAUCGGAGAGGAAAGUGGAAUUCCUAGUGUAGCGGUGAAAUGCGUAGAGAUUAGGAAGAACACCGGUGGCGAAGGCGACUUUCUGGACGAAAACUGACGCUGAGGCGCGAAAGCGUGGGGAGCAAACAGGAUUAGAUACCCUGGUAGUCCACGCCGUAAACGAUGGAUACUGGGUGUAGGAGGUAUCGACCCCUCCUGUGCCGG
rnacentral:rRNA from 1 species